rnacentral:rRNA from 1 species
GACAGAGGGUGCAAGCGUUGUUCGGAAUUACUGGGCGUAAAGGGCUCGUAGGUGGCCAACUAAGUCAGACGUGAAAUCCCUCGGCUUAACCGGGGAACUGCGUCUGAUACUGGAUGGCUUGAGAUUGGGAGAGGGAUGCGGAAUUCCAGGUGUAGCGGUGAAAUGCGUAGAUAUCUGGAGGAACACCGGUGGCGAAGGCGGCAUCCUGGACCAACACUGACACUGAGGAGCGAAAGCCAGGGGAGCAAACGGG